GACGAACGCUGGCGGCGUGCCUAAUACAUGCAAGUAGAACGCACAGUUUAUACCGUAGCUUGCUACACCAUAGACUGUGAGUUGCGAACGGGUGAGUAACGCGUAGGUAACCUGCCUGGUAGCGGGGGAUAACUAUUGGAAACGAUAGCUAAUACCGCAUAAUAUUGAUUAUUGCAUGAUAAUUGAUUGAAAGAUGCUAUUGCAUCACUACCAGAUGGACCUGCGUUGUAUUAGCUAGUAGGUGAGGUAACGGCUCACCUAGGCGACGAUACAUAGCCGACCUGAGAGGGUGAUCGGCCACACUGGGACUGAGACACGGCCCAGACUCCUACGGGAGGCAGCAGUUGGGAAUCUUCGGCAAUGGACGAAAGUCUGACCGAGCAACGCCGCGUGAGUGAAGAAGGUUUUCGGAUCGUAAAGCUCUGUUGUAAGAGAAGAACGGGUGUGAGAGUGGAAAGUUCACACUGUGACGGUAUCUUACCAGAAAGGGACGGCUAACUACGUG
rnacentral:rRNA from 1 species